UACGGAGGGUGCAAGCGUUAAUCGGAAUUACUGGGCGUAAAGCGCACGCAGGUGGCUGAGCGAGUCGAUUGUGAAAGCCCUGGGCUUAACCUGGGAAUUGCGUUGGAGACUGCAAGGCUGGAGUCUGGCAGAGGGGGGUAGAAUUCCACGUGUAGCAGUGAAAUGCGUAGAGAUGUGGAGGAACACCGAUGGCGAAGGCAGCCCCCUGGGUCAAGACUGACGCUCAUGCACGAAAGCGUGGGGAGCAAACAGG
rnacentral:rRNA from 1 species